rnacentral:rRNA from 1 species
ACUCCUACGGGAGGCAGCAGUGGGAAUCUUGGACAAUGGGGCAACCCGUGCAUCCAGCCAUGCCGCGUGAGUGAUGAAGGCCCUAGGGUCGCAAAGCUCUUUCGCCUGUGAAGAUAAUGACUGUAGCAGGUAAAGAAACCCCGCGACAUCCGUGCCAGCAGCCGCGGUAAUACGGAGGGGUUAGCGUUGUUCGGAAUUACUGGGCGUAAAGCGCGCGUAGGCGGACU